rnacentral:rRNA from 1 species
ACUCCUACGGGAGGCAGCAGUAGGGAAUCUUCCACAAUGGGCGCAAGCCUGAUGGAGCAACACCGCGUGAGUGAAGAAGGGUUUCGGCUCGUAAAGCUCUGUUGUUAAAGAAGAACACGUAUGAGAGUAACUGUUCAUACGUUGACGGUAUUUAACCAGAAAGUCACGGCUAACUACGUGUCAGCAGCCGCGGUAAUACGUAGGUGGCAAGCGUUAUCCGGAUUUAUUGGGCGUAAAGAGAGUGCAGGCGGUUUUCUAAGUCUGAUGUGAAAGCCUUCGGCUUAACCGGAGAAGUGCAUCGGAAACUGGAUAACUUGAGUGCAGAAGAGGGUAGUGGAACUCCAUGUGUAGCGGUGGAAUGCGUAGAUAUAUGGAAGAACACCAGUGGCGAAGGCGGCUACCUGGUCUGCAACUGACGCUGAGACUCGAAAGCAUGGGUAGCGAACAGGAUUAGAUACCCUGGUAGGAUAGCC